UACGGAGGAUGCAAGCGUUAUCCGGAAUUAUUGGGCGUAAAGCGUCCGCAGGUGGCACUUCAAGUCUGCUGUCAAAGACCGGGGCUUAACCCUGGAAAGGCAGUGGAAACUGAAGCGCUAGAGUGUGGCAGGGGUAGAGGGAAUUCCCGGUGUAGCGGUGAAAUGCGUAGAGAUCGGGAAGAACACCGAUGGCGAAGGCAGGUCUCUGGGCCACUACUGACGCUGAGAAGCGAAAGCAUGGGGAGCGAACAGG
rnacentral:rRNA from 1 species